UGGGGAAUUUUGGACAAUGGGCGCAAGCCUGAUCCAGCCAUGCCGCGUGCGGGAAGAAGGCCUUCGGGUUGUAAACCGCUUUUGUCAGGGAAGAAAUCUUCUGAGUUAAUACCUCGGGAGGAUGACGGUACCUGAAGAAUAAGCACCGGCUAACUACGUGCCAGCAGCCGCGGUAAUACGUAGGGUGCAAGCGUUAAUCGGAAUUACUGGGCGUAAAGCGUGCGCAGGCGGUUUUGUAAGACAGAGGUGAAAUCCCCGGGCUCAACCUGGGAACUGCCUUUGUGACUGCAAGGCUUGAGUGCGGCAGAGGGGGAUGGAAUUCCGCGUGUAGUAGUGAAAUGCGUAGAUAUGCGGAGGAACACCGAUGGCGAAGGCAAAUCCCCCUGGGCCUGCACUGACGCUCACGCACGAAAGCGUGGGGAGCAAACAGGAUUAGAUACCCUGGUAGUCCACGCCCUAAACGAUGUCAAC
rnacentral:rRNA from 1 species